CGCUGGAGCCUCUCUGGGUGGCGGCGGGGCUGGUGCAGCCGGUCUGAUCUACGAGACAGGUACUCUGUCUCCCAGAGCUUGCCCAAGACCACACAGCCUGAACCAGGAUUUGCUCUGCUGGCCGCUUCUCAAUUCCUCUGACUGCGGCCUCCAAGGAGGGCGUGUUGCCCAGGGAACUGAGAUGAAGAAACAACUCCAGCGUUGCCCGAGGUCCCACGGGGAUCAGUCACGUGGUCGGCCACAACAGAGGAUUCCCCAUGACAGGGGACCACGAGUUGGAUCCUGGCCAGAAGCCAGAAGCCCCUUGAGGGCAAGGACCCCAUUUUACCCCAUUCCUCCCUGCUGUACCUAGCACAGGGCACAGCACAUAGCGGGUGCUCGAAAAGUCCUUCACGAGUAAAUCUUGCAUCCCUCGGUAGCUGCAGUCACCUGCCGUUCUCGCCGUCGUUCAUUUAUUCAGCAUUUAGUAAGCGCUGACUGUGUGCUUGGCACCCUACUGGGCGCUGGGACGCACAGUUGAAUAAGGCACAGUGCCUGCCCCUGUUGGCUUAUC